GUCUUUAUAGCUUAAAUGGUAGAGCACUAAACUGAAGAUUUAGUCGUAUUGGUUCAAUUCCAGUUAAGGACA
rnacentral:tRNA from 1 species